rnacentral:lncRNA from 10 species
AGACAGCAAAUACACAUGAACAGAAAGAAGAGGUCAAAGAAAAGGCUGACGGCAAGUUAACGAAAAGAAAAAUGGUGAAUGAUACCCGGUGCUGGCAAUCUCGUUUAAACUACAUGCAGGAACAGCAAAGGAAAUCCGGCAAAUUUGCGCAGUCAUUCUCAACACCGGCCAUGCAGCAAAAUCAUCAGUGGAAAUUUAAGAAAAUACACAUGGCCAGGCCCCAGCCCAAAUCACUAAGAAGAAUCUCCAGGGGUUCACCUGUUAGACUGGCAAAAAUCCAAAAGUAAACACUUUGUGGAGAAACAGGCAUUCCUAGACAUUGCUGGUGGGAUACAGAACAGUACAAUUCUGAUGGUAAUCAGUUAACAAAUUAAACAUAUUUAUUUUAUACUUUUAAACCAAGGAAUCCCAUAUUUAGGAGCCUACUGAGACCAAACAGCAUAUGCUCCGGGUGUUUCCCUAUAAUCCGCCACUACUGUUGGAGCAAGAGGGCCCGGCAGUGUCCCCAGCUGCCAGCAGGCGGGCGUGCUGCCACUACACCUUGAGCAAGAGGACCCUGCAAUGUCCCUAGCUGCCAGCAGGCGGCGUGCCACCACUAUACAGUAAGCAAGAGGGCCCUGCAGUGCCCCGGCGCCAGCAGGGGGCGCUGGCCACCACUCUAAGCAAGAGAGCCCUGCAGUUGCCCUAGUCGCCAGCAGGGGGCGCCCUGGCACAGCACCGUGAGCAAGCGGGUCCUGUAGUGCCCGGCUGCAAGCAAGGGGCUGUCGAUCCCGGCGUUUCGGAUUACUGAGGUUCCACCCGUCUCUGCGCCGCGCCGCCGUGACGCGUGCGUCUCUGCGCCUGCGCCACGCCUCCACCCCGG